GACGAACGCUGGCGGCGUGCUUAACACAUGCAAGUCGAACGGAAAGGCCCUGCUUUUGUGGGGUGCUCGAGUGGCGAACGGGUGAGUAACACGUGAGUAACCUGCCCUUUACUUUGGGAUAACUUCAGGAAACUGGGGCUAAUACCGGAUAGGAGCUCCUGCUGCAUGGUGGGGGGUGGAAAGUUUCGGCGGUUGGGGAUGGACUCGCGGCUUAUCAGCUUGUUGGUGGGGUAGUGGCUUACCAAGGCUUUGACGGGUAGCCGGCCUGAGAGGGUGACCGGCCACAUUGGGACUGAGAUACGGCCCAGACUCCUACGGGAGGCAGCAGUGGGGAAUAUUGCACAAUGGGCGGAAGCCUGAUGCAGCAACGCCGCGUGCGGGAUGACGGCCUUCGGGUUGUAAACCGCUUUCGCCUGUGACGAAGCGUGAGUGACGGUAAUGGGUAAAGAAGCACCGGCUAACUACGUG
rnacentral:rRNA from 1 species